rnacentral:rRNA from 1 species
UGAGGAAUAUUGGUCAAUGGGCGAGAGCCUGAACCAGCCACGUCGCGUGAAGGAAGACUGACCUUACGGUUUGUAAACUUCUUUUGUAGAGGGGUAAUGGCAGAUACGUGUAUUUGCGUGAAAGUACUCUACGAAUAAGCGUCGGCUAACUCCGUGCCAGCAGCCGCGGUAAUACGGGGGAUGCGAGCGUUAUCCGGAAUUAUUGGGUUUAAAGGGUGCGCAGGUGGCUAAUCAGGUCAGUGGUGAAAAGCUAUGGCUCAACCAUGGUCUUGCCAUUGAAACCGUAUAGCUAGAGAGGAGACGAGGUAGGCGGAAUGUGUGGUGUAGCGGUGAAAUGCAUAGAUAUCACACAGAACUCCGAUUGCGAAGGCAGCUUACCAGGCUUUAUCUGACACUUAGGCACGACAGCGUGGGGAGCAAACAGG